UGGGCAUCCAUGGAGAACUUGAUCUUCUUGUUCUCGUACUUCAUUGACAUCUGAAAGUCGGCAACAGUCCUUGAGGUGGCCUUUGCUGCCUUGGCUACAGCUUUACUCUUCUCGAAUUGGGCUUCAAGCUCCCUUAUUCUCCAUUGCAAUCGAGAGUUCUCUUUGACAGCUCCUCUUAGAGCCAUUUCGGCAUCUUUAGCCCUCCUUUCAGUGGCAUUGGCCCUCAUGGAGGCCUCUCUAGCCUCCCUUACAGCCUUGUGUUUGGUGCCCUUAAGCAUCUCGACAUCGGC
rnacentral:lncRNA from 1 species